rnacentral:tRNA from 1 species
GUUUACAUAGUUUAAAAAAAACAUUGUAUUUUCAUUACAAAAAUGAAUCUUAUUCUAUAAACU